rnacentral:snoRNA from 1 species
UGCCCCUUUUAAGGUUGACACAGUGCUUUAAGGCUAACACAAAAGGGGAAAAUAAGUCUCCAUACAACCCAUAGAUGAGACUAUAAAGCUCCUCUUUGGAGGAGCUGGACUCCUGUCUGGAGUCACGGCU